GAUGAACGCUGGCGGCGUGCCUAAUACAUGCAAGUCGAGCGAACAGACGAGGAGCUUGCUCCUCUGACGUUAGCGGCGGACGGGUGAGUAACACGUGGAUAACCUACCUAUAAGACUGGGAUAACUUCGGGAAACCGGAGCUAAUACCGGAUAAUAUAUUUAACCGCAAGGUUCAAUAGUGAAAGACGCUUUUGCUGUCCCUUAUAGAUGGAUCCGCGUCGCAUUAGCUAGUUGGUAAGGUAACGGCUUACCAAGGCAACGAUCCUUACCCGACCGGUGAGGGGGAUCGGCAACACUGGACUGGAGCCACGGUCCAGACUCCUACGGGAGGCAGCAGUAGGGAAUUUUCGGCAAUGGGCGAAAGCCUGACGAAGCAACGCCGCGUGAUGGAUGAAGGUCUUCGGUUGGUAAAACUCUUUUAUUAGGAAAAAAGAAAUGUAGAAUUAAAUAUGCACGUCUUGACGGUACCUAAUCAGAAAGCCACGGCUAACUACGUG
rnacentral:rRNA from 1 species